UACAGAGGGUGCGAGCGUUAAUCGGAAUUACUGGGCGUAAAGCGCACGUAGUCGGCUUUGCAAGUCGGGUGUGAAAUCCCCGGGCUCAACCUGGGAACUGCAUCCGAGACUGCAUUGCUAGAGUAUGGGAGAGGGAAGCGGAAUCUCUGGUGUAGCAGUGAAAUGCGUAGAUAUCAGAAGGAACAUCAGUGGCGAAGGCGGCUUCCUGGACCAAUACUGACGAUCAGGUGCGAAAGCGUGGGGAGCAAACAGG
rnacentral:rRNA from 1 species